rnacentral:rRNA from 1 species
AUGUGGACCUGUCUUCGUCAGCGCUAUGAGCCCUCUGGUGAUGCCUUAUACCUUUCUGUGGUUCGUCAGGAGCAUGCUCUUCAGCAGGGUGACUCUACUGUUGAUGACUUUUAUGCACAGAGUUCUGCUAUCUGGCGCCAGCUUGAUUCUCUCCGCAGUGCUGGUUGUCGUACUUGCCCCUACUGCCAGGCUGUCCAGGCCAACUUGGAGUUUCAUCGCGUCUACGAGUUCCUGUCUCGGCUCCGUAAGGAGUUUGAGCCCCGGCGUGCUCAGUUGUUUGCUCGUGGCCGUAUUUCUCUCAUGGAGGCGCUUUCAGAGAUUCGUGCUGAGGAGACUCGCUUACGUGGUGCUGGUUUGCUGGAGGUUCCCUCUGUGCUCGCUACUCGGGCUUCUUCCACUCCACCUGCUGCACCGCCCCAUUCUCGCUCGAGUGCUCCGCCGCUCUUGCCCACUCCUUCUGGAGGCUCAGGUCGCCCCCGUCCACAUUGUGACUACUGCAACAAUGAUGGUCAUAUUGAGUCCCAGUGCUACACAAAGCGGAAACACCUGCGCAAGGCGCGAUCAUCCUCCUCAGGGACUUCGUCA